rnacentral:rRNA from 1 species
AGUGGCAGACGGGUGAGUAAUGUAUAGGAAUCUACCUAGUAGUACGGAAUAAUUGUUGGAAACGGCAACUANNNCCGUAUACGCCCUACGGGGGAAAAAUUUAUUGCUAUUAGAUGAGCCUAUAUUAGAUUAGUUAGUUGGUGAGGUAAAGGCUUACCAAGACAAUGAUCUAUAGCUGAUCUGAGAGGAUGAUCAGCCACACUGGAACUGAGAUACGGUCCAGACUCCUACGGGAGGCAGCAGUGGGGAAUAUUGGACAAUGGGCGAAAGCCUGAUCCAGCCAUGCCGCAUGAGUGAAGAAGGCCUUCGGGUUGUAAAGCUCUUUUAGUGAGGAAGAUAAUGACGGUACUCACAGAAGAAGUCCUGGCUAACUCCGUGCCAGCAGCCGCGGUAAUACGGAGAGGGCUAGCGUUAUUCGGAAUCAUUGGGCGUAAAGGGCGCGUAGGCGGGUUAGUAAGUUAAAAGUGAAAUCCCAAGGCUCAACCUUGGAACUGCUUUUAAAACUGCUAGUCUAGAGAUUGAAAGAGGANAGAGGAAUUCCUAGUGUANAGAUGAAAUUCGUAAAUAUUAGGAGGAACAC